AUCCCUUUAGCCAAGCGGUUAAGGCAGUAGGAUUAUGUCCUACGUAUCGGGAGUUCGAACCUCCCAAGGGGCG
rfam:Bacillus cereus bacteriophage vB_BceM_Bc431v3, complete genome.